GUCAUACAUUAAACUUUACUUUCAUGAAAUUCAUUAAGAUUUAAGAACAAACUAAUACCAAUUUAUGUUUUCACUACUACGUAUUAGGUUAUUCGAUUCACAUGCAUUGGACAAGCAACAUAAAUGAAAUGUUAGGAUUUUGUUUCACAAGUACUGUACAUUAGUGAAAUAUUACGUUAUUCUUCAUAAUGCAAGUGUUUUUUUAUCUUCAAAUUGUAUGUCUGUUAUUUAAUCGAAGAUUACCAACUCAUCUGGCAGUGAAUGAAGACGGCUCCUGGCGGAAAGGACUAAUAAGACAAUGUCGGACUACAUUCACCCCAACAAUGGCUAUCCGAGUAUUGUCGAGACAGAUAAUGUGCCAAGUAUUCUGCAAAACAGCCAGGAAGAGACUAUAGGAGGGCAACACGCAUCAGUCACGACAUACACAGAAUUUGAACGCCCUACAGAAUGGCAAGAUGUCACUGAUGAGGGUAACGAAAAUAGUGAACUUUCAAAUGGAAUAGUUGUGGAUGUAAACGGCAGGGAAUGUCAGCAGGAGAGUAGUCAAGAUGGAACAAGCGAAGCACUUGUUAUAAGUGGAUCGUUAACGGAGCAUCGGCGUGAAAGGACUGCUCAACGAAACAGUCGCAUUUAUGAGGAGAAUGGCCCGGUGGUUGGGCUUCCUGCACUAGCUACGGUUACGUCUAACGCCAAUGCGGGUCUUGCGAGAUAUGCAGACUACAGAAGACGCCUGAAGUCUUUCAAAGGCUAUGCGAAAAAGUGGCCACACCGGAAUCCUUCUGCGGAAGACAUGGCACGAUCAAACUUUAUUUUUAGAGGUUCUGAUCGUCAUCCCGAUGCGGUUCAGUGUUACUUAUGUGGAAAAACUUUCCAUACAAUACAAGAAACAGAUGUUCCGGACAAUCUCUGCGAGUGUAACUUGUAACUGAAUCGAGACAGGUGAAGCUGGAUUUGAAGUCGAACAAACUAAUACAAGCAACAACAAUUGAACAAAAUAGUUUGAAAUGAACUGUUAAAUGUAAAUACAAGAGGGUUUUGUGUUUAAAUAUUUAUUGAUUUGCUAAUAUCAUGUCAAUGAACUUUAAUUAUUCUGACUUUCAGUGUUAUUUAAAUUUGAUAAUUUGCUGAAAUGUUAUAUAUUUGAAGCACAUGAUAAUUUACAACAAAACUAGAGUGGAUUUCGUAUUCUAUGUACUGUGCAAUCUUUCUUCGAAUAAUAACAAAGUGAUAUCAUCUAAUAUCAUCAAGCUCAUUUUCAAUACCUGGGACCGUAUUAUCAAGUACGCUGGGGGACGAUCCUGUACCUAAGAUCUAUGUUUAACAGUGUAAACAAAUUAAAAAAUAACUAUAAAAUGCUAUUAUAUAUUUACAAAAGGUUCCAAGCGACGCAGUGUUUUAAAGGCCGGCUAUAAUGCAAACGUCGUUUUAAGAACCAAAAUUUAAAAAAAAAUGUUUAAAAUAAUCAUUUUUUAUUUUGGUUUGAGGUUUAAUAUUUAGCAAGCAUAAUUCAUAUAUCCGUUGCAACAUGUACAGCUGUAGUAAGGAGUUGAGCAAUUAUUACGAAAUAAUAUUUUAUCAGAUUUCCAUCAAAAAGCAUUAGCGUUUUCCCGGAAAUAUGCAAACUGAAUAUGUGUAUGUGUCAAAUUUAUCAGUACUACCGAAUUAACAAUGUCUUGAGGUUUUGUGGUGAUUGCAGCUAUUUUUAAAACAGAUAUUCGCAUUUUUGUAUCCACGUAAUGAAUUCCAUCUACUAUUUUCCAAUAUUUUUAUAUUUUAAUGUUUAAUAGCAUGUAGGCUGAUGUCAGUGACUUAGGGCUUAAUUCAGGAUAAAAGGGCAAUGUACUUUGUUUGGGUUGGAAGAAGUCUCAGGCAACAGCCAAUAUUGCUUAUAUAAAAUAAUAUCAGCUGAAAGACUUCAGGAAGUAAGGAUCUACAGAUAAAAAUCUCAUAUACACAUAUCACUUUUUUAUGAAAUGGUUUAUACUUCCAAAAUUUAAAGCAUAGUUUUGUCGUGUUGUUGCGAUUUUCUCUUACCCUUUGCCAUUAAAAGAGCGCUUACCCUAAAGCAGCUUUUCUGAAAUUCAUUUAUUCAUGUCAUAUUUUGCAUAUGUUUUAAAAUUCAAUUGAACAUAUAGGUUUUUGUCCUGUUUUUGCCUUUUUGUCCAUGUUGUGGAUAAUGCGUUUUUUUAUGAAUAUUGUUUUCAAAGACUUGUGUCAGUGGGAUCUUAAUUCGAGGUGCAUCAUUAUCAUAUAUAAAGACUUGACUUAAUCAAUUUAUUAUGAUGGUACGUUUUAUAUUGAUGAUGUUUUAGCACCAUAAGUCAAGAUACUCUCUUGGAUACAGAUUUUGACUUGCUUUUGAUAUAUUUCUUUUUAAAAAAGCAUUCUGUCUGUCAUCUCUGAAAAAAUAACAUAUAGUUUUCUUUCUGAUUUGCCCUUUGUCCAUGUUGUGGAUAAUGCGUUUUUUUAUGAAUAUUGUUUUCAAAGACUUGUGUCAGUGGGAUCUUAAUUUGAGAUGUAUCAUUAUCAUAUAUAAAGACUUGACUUAAUGAUGUGUGAGCACCAUAAGUCAAGAUCGCCGUUUCUCUUGGAUACAGAUUUUGAUCCAUGUUUUUUAGCAAAGCAUUCUGUCUGCAAUCUCUGAAAAAUUAGAUAUGACUUGUGUAUUGAUAUUUGUUGACAUGAUCAACAAAACAUACUUAUUAAAUUAAGUGUUUUAUUUUUUUAUUACUAUAUUAAUUUAUUUUUGUGAGUGUUCUGUUAAUGCUUUGUUUGAUUUUAGUAUCACAUUGCACAUGUGACAAUACACUUGCAUUGUAUUACAAAUAAAGCUUUAAUAUGUUUAAUGUUUAGGUAUGCACAUAUAGCCAGCUAAAUGUUAAGGGUGUGAUUUUGAAUGUGAUAUUUGCUUUAGAAAUAAUUGUUUAUAUGUAUCGAGCCCGUUCCAUGAAAACGUACCUUCUCGGUGAUAUUUUACACUGAUGGAAAAUUAUCUGAGGUACAGACACUGCCCCUAGGAAAGUUGAUGAAACGGCCCAUGCUGUUGAAAUGAAUUGAAUGUAUCAAAUCUGAUUUUGUUAUUAUCCAAUAGAAGAUUAUACAGUACAGUGAAUACCAAAUCCACUCUUUUGUUCGUGUUGUAAAAUAUCAUGUGCUACAGAUAUAUAACUUUCUAGCAAAAAACCUUGAACAUUUCAUUAUGUAAUGAGGUCUGUACAUCUUUUUUAUAUAAAAAAGAAUGUCUCGUA